GCCGGGUGUGGUGGCCCACGCCUUUAAUGCCAGCCCUUCGGAGGCAGAGGCAGGUGGUUCUUUUUGAGUUUGAGGCCAUCCUGGUCUACAUAGUGAGUUCUAGGCCAGCUAAGGCUACGGGGAGACCCUGUCUCAAAAGGAAAAAAAAAAAAAAAGGAGGGUCUCAUUAUGUAGCCCUGGUUGGCCUGGAACUUACUAUGUAGACCAGGCUGGCCUCCAUUUCACAGAGAACCACCUGCCUCU
rnacentral:sRNA from 1 species